AACGAACGCUGGCGGCAUGCCUAACACAUGCAAGUCGAACGAGACCUUCGGGUCUAGUGGCGCACGGGUGCGUAACGCGUGGGAACCUGCCCUUAGGUUCGGAAUAACUCCCCGAAAGGGGUGCUAAUACCGGAUAAUGUCUUCGGACCAAAGAUUUAUCGCCUUUGGAUGGGCCCGCGUUGGAUUAGCUAGUUGGUAGGGUAAAAGCCUACCAAGGCGACGAUCCAUAGCUGGUCUGAGAGGCUGAUCAGCCACACUGGGACUGAGACACGGCCCAGACUCCUACGGGAGGCAGCAGUGGGGAAUAUUGGGCCAUGGGCGAAGGCCUGAUCCAGCAAUGCCGCGUGAGUGAUGAAGGCCUUAGGGUUGUAAAGCUCUUUUACCCGGGAUGAUAAUGACAGUACCGGGAGAAUAAGCUCCGGCUAACUCCGUG
rnacentral:rRNA from 1 species